UACAGAGGUCCCAAGCGUUGUUCGGAUUCACUGGGCGUAAAGGGUGCGCAGGUGGCGCUUCAAGUUUGAUGUGAAAGCUUCGGGCUCAACCCGGAAAUGGCAUUGAAUACUGGAGUGCUGGAGGUUUGGAGGGGGGACUGGAAUUCUCGGUGUAGCAGUGAAAUGCGUAGAUAUCGAGAGGAACACCAGUGGCGAAGGCGAGUCCCUGGACAACACCUGACACUGAGGCACGAAAGCCGGGGGAGCAAACAGG
rnacentral:rRNA from 1 species